UACAAAGUACUUAUGGGACAUUGUUCAUUGUUUCUCUUGUGAAAAUUAAGUUUUUCUACGUUAGAGUGAAGGUUGAAACAUUGUUCUCAUAUGGACUUUAACCCCUUUAGACAUACCAUGAAACUUCUUGCGAAAGUACUGAGCCAUGAUAUGGGUAGUUGGAGUGAGCAUUGUGUCAGUUUCCAGCUGUAUUAUUGUUUUCUUUUCUUAUUAGUUGGAGCAACAACAGGUGUUGCUGAAUUGAUUUUCUCACUCACAUUAUCAGGUUCAGUCUAAGUGAAUCCUCGAUCAUGGAUUGAUUCUGUACUAUCUAGAUAUAUAGCAGUUGAAUAUGUUGUUUGAUUGCGGAGAGAUUGCUGUUCCACUGGUUGUAGCUUUUUGUUCAGGUUCUUAUUGAAAAUCCCUUUUCCCUGAUGAUUGCAUGAUGGUUUUUACAUCUGCUUCCUUGGAACCUAUUAAGCACGUAAACACCUAGGGUUAAUGAUUCUACUCAGGAACCUUUUUUGUGUGCCUGAAGUAGACAUAAGAUUACCAUCUGCUGAUGUUUCAGCCUUAACAACGAUUGAUAUUCACUAGUAUGUUGGCUGCUAUUAAAAUGGAAGUCAUGAUGCCAUCAACAGAAGGAUUGCAUAGCUAUUGAGUUUCAUAUACCUCCGGUUUGUUCGUCAAUUGGUAGGCCUGGUCGGCCUGCUGAGCAAGCACCUGCUAUUGCUAAACAACUAUCUGAUGACUGAUGUUAUUUUAAGAUAAGUCCUUUUCGGACAGGUUUUUGGAACCAUAUGAACAAGAAGCUCCUGAAUUGAUGAAGGUAUUCGAAGAUCAGUUGAACAUCCGAUCCGAGAGCUGCUUCUGACAUGAAGGGUUUGAGGGGUCCAUAACUCAUUGCAAGUAUGUUGUAGUCUUUGUUUUUUUGUAUAGUUGGUGCCUCUCUUUAACGUUUUAGUCAUAUGCUUAUUUAUGUUUGUGUUGGUUUCGAAAUGAAAAUUGUUUUAUCUUUGAUGUACAUGAAGAAUUUAUGUCUUAUUAGUUGUUGUAUACCA